GGCAUAUCAAUAAGCGGAGGAAAAGAAACCAACAGGGAUUGCCCUAGUAACGGCGAGUGAAGCGGCAACAGCUCAAAUUUGAAAUCUGGCGCAAGCCCGAGUUGUAAUUUGUAGAGGAUGCUUCUGGCCAGCGGCCGUUCUAAGUUCCUUGGAACAGGACGUCAUAGAGGGUGAGAAUCCCGUAUGUGACCGGCGCGCAGCCUUUACGUAGCUCCUUCGACGAGUCGAGUUGUUUGGGAAUGCAGCUCUAAAUGGGAGGUAAAUUUCUUCUAAAGCUAAAUACCGGCCAGAGACCGAUAGCGCACAAGUAGAGUGAUCGAAAGAUGAAAAGCACUUUGGAAAGAGAGUUAAAAAGCACGUGAAAUUGUUGAAAGGGAAGCGCUUGCAACCAGACUUCGUAGCGAUGUUCCGCCGGUCUUCUGACCGGUCUACUCAUCGUCGCGAGGCCAACAUCGUCUGGGGCCGCCGGAUAAGACCUAAGGAAUGUAGCUUCCCUCGGGAAGUGUUAUAGCCUUUGGUGAUGCGGCGSGUCUCGGGCGAGGUCCGCGCUUCGGCAAGGAGUUGC
rnacentral:rRNA from 2 species